UGGUUAAGUGAAUAAGGGCGUACGGUGAAUGCCUUGGCACUAGGAGCCGAUGAAGGACGGGACGAACACCGAUAUGCUUCGGGGAGCUGUAAGUAAGCUUUGAUCCGGAGAUUUCCGAAUGGGGGAACCUCAUUGUUUUUAUCGACAAUGGUCCAUUCAGUGAACACAUAGCUGAGUGGAAGGUAGACGUGGUGAACUGAAACAUCUCAGUAGCCACAGGAAGAGAAAGAAAAAUCGAUUUCCCGAGUAGCGGCGAGCGAAACGGAAAGAGGCCAAACCAGCGUGCUUGCAUGCUGGGGUUGUAGGACUGAUGGACGGGAGUGAAUGAGCUAGUUGAACGCCAUGGAAAGGGCGAUCAGAGAGGGUGACAAUCCCGUAGGCGAAAGCUCAGCCACCUCAUUCAGUAUCCUGAGUACGGCGGUACACGUGAAAUUCCGUCGGAAUCCGCCAGGACCAUCUGGCAAGCCUAAAUACUCCCUAGUGACCGAUAGUGAACCAGUACCGUGAGGGAAAGGUGAAAAGCACCCCGGAAGGGGAGUGAAAGAGUACCUGAAACCGUAUGCCUACAAGCAGUCAGAGCCCGUUAAGGGGUGAUGGCGUACUUUUUGUAGAACGGACCGGCGAGUGACGAUAGCAAGCAAGGUUAAGCUGAAGAAGCGGAGCCACAGCGAAAGCGAGUCUGAAGAGGGCGUUGAGUUUGUUGUCGUCGACCCGAAACCAAGUGAUCUACUCAUGUCCAGGCUGAAGGUGUGGUAAAACACACUGGAGGGCCGAACCCACGUCUGUUGAAAAAGGCGGGGAUGAGGUGUGGGUAGCGGUGAAAUUCCAAUCGAACUUGGAGAUAGCUGGUUCUCUCCGAAAUAGCUUUAGGGCUAGCCUCGGAUGAUGACUAUUGGAGGUAGAGCACUGUUUGAUCGAGGGGUCCAUCCUGGAUUACCGACAUCUGAUAAACUCCGAAUGCCAAAUAGUUUAGUCCGGGAGUCAGACUGCGAGUGAUAAGAUCCGUAGUCGAAAGGGAAAGAGCCCAGACCACCAGCUAAGGUCCCAAAGUUUCAGUUAAGUGGAAAAGGAUGUGGGGUUGCUUAGACAACUAGGAUGUUGGCUUAGAAGCAGCCAUCAUUGAAAGAGUGCGUAAUAGCUCACUAGUCGAGUGACCCUGCGCCGAAAAUGUACCGGGGCUAAACUGAACACCGAAGCUGUGGAUCCAUAGGAUGGUAGGAGAGCGUUCUAUAGGCAGAGAAGCAUGAUCGUGAGGACAUGUGGAGCGUAUAGAAGUGAGAAUGCCGGUAUGAGUAGCGAAAGACGGGUGAGAAUCCCGUCCACCGAAUGACUAAGGUUUCCUGGGGAAGGCUCGUCCUCCCAGGGUUAGUCGGGACCUAAGCCGAGACCGAAAGGGAUAGGCGAUGGACAACAGGUUGAGAUUCCUGUACUUGUUUGAUUUGUUUGAGCGAUGGAAGGACACAGAAGGCUAAGCGGAGCGCGGAGAUGGAAAAACGCGUCCAAGCAAUAAGUGAGAAGGUGAGUGAAAGGCUUGCCUCAGACUUCAUGAGUUGUGACGGGGAGGGAAAUUUAGUACCGAAGCCGCCGACGUCACGCUGUCAAGAAAAGUUUCUAGUGAGAAUCAAACAACCCGUACCGCAAACCGACACAGGUAGUCGAGUGGAGAACACUAAGGUGAGCGAGCGAACUCUCGUUAAGGAACUCGGCAAAAUGACCCCGUAACUUCGGGAGAAGGGGUGCUGACCGCAAGGUCAGCCGCAGUGAAUAGGCCCAAGCGACUGUUUAUCAAAAACAUAGGUCUCUGCCAAAUCGAAAGAUGAUGUAUAGAGGCUGACGCCUGCCCGGUGCUGGAAGGUUAAGAGGAAGGGUUAGCGUAAGCGAAGCUCUGAAUUGAAGCCCCAGUAAACGGCGGCCGUAACUAUAACGGUCCUAAGGUAGCGAAAUUCCUUGUCAGGUAAGUUCUGACCCGCACGAAAGGCGUAACGAUUUGGGCACUGUCUCAACGAGAGGCUCGGUGAAAUUGUAGUACCAGUGAAGAUGCUGGUUACCCGCGACAGGACGGAAAGACCCCAUGGAGCUUUACUGUAGGUUGAUAUUGAAUGUUUGUGCCACAUGUACAGGAUAGGUAGGAGCCAUCGAAGUCGGGACGCUAGUCUCGAUGGAGGCACUGGUGGGAUACUACCCUUGUGGGAUGACCAUUCUAACCCGCGACCAUUAGCUGGUCGGGAGACAGUGUCAGUCAGGCAGUUUGACUGGGGCGGUCGCCUCCUAAAGUGUAACGGAGGCGCCCAAAGGUUCCCUCAGAAUGGUUGGAAAUCAUUCGCAGAGUGUAAAGGCAGAAGGGAGCUUGACUGCGAGACCUACAAGUCGAGCAGGGACGAAAGUCGGGCUUAGUGAUCCGGUGGUUCCGCAUGGAAGGGCCAUCGCUCAACGGAUAAAAGCUACCCUGGGGAUAACAGGCUUAUCUCCCCCAAGAGUUCACAUCGACGGGGAGGUUUGGCACCUCGAUGUCGGCUCAUCGCAUCCUGGGGCUGAAGUCGGUCCCAAGGGUUGGGCUGUUCGCCCAUUAAAGCGGUACGCGAGCUGGGUUCAGAACGUCGUGAGACAGUUCGGUCCCUAUCCGUCGCGGGCGUUGGAAAUUUGAGAGGAGCUGUCCUUAGUACGAGAGGACCGGGAUGGACACACCGCUGGUGUACCAGUUGUUCCACCAGGAGCAUGGCUGGGUAGCUAUGUGUGGACGGGAUAAGCGCUGAAAGCAUCUAAGCGUGAAGCCCCCCUCAAGAUGAGAUUUCCCAUACUUUUAAAGUAGUAAGACCCCUGAAAGACGAUCAGGUUGAUAGGUUUGGAGUGGAAGCUUAGCAAUAAGUGGAGCGGACAAAUACUAAUCGGUCGAGGACUUAUCCAAA
rnacentral:rRNA from 1 species